GACGAACGCUGGCGGCGUGCCUAAUACAUGCAAGUAGAACGCCGUUGCGAAAGGGUGAGUAACGCGCAGGUAACAUGCCCCAUAGCGGGGGAUAACUAUUGGAAACGUUAGCUAAAACCGCAUACUGUGACAUGGACCUGCGUUGUAGUAGCUAGUUGGUGAGGUAAAGGCUCACCAAGGUGACGAUACAUAGCCGGCCUGGGAGGGGGGACGACCACACUGGGACCGGGACACGGCCCCAGCUCCUACGGGAGGCAACCAUAGGGAAUCUUGGGCAAUGGACGGAAAUCUGACCGAGCAACGCCGCGUGAGUGAAGAAGGUUUUCGGAUGAUAAAGCUCUGUUGUUAGGGGAGCGGUAACUAACCAGAAAGGAACGGCUAACUACGUGCCAGCAGCCGCGGUAAUAC
rnacentral:rRNA from 1 species